UACGAAGGGGGCUAGCGUUGCUCGGAAUCACUGGGCGUAAAGCGCGUGUAGGCGGCUCGGCAAGUCGGAUGUGAAAGCCCCGGGCUCAACCCGGGAAGUGCAUUCGAUACUGCGAGGCUAGAGUCCCGGAGAGGAUGGUGGAACUCUCGGUGUAGAGGUGAAAUUCGUAGAUAUCGAGAAGAACACCGGUGGCGAAGGCGGCCAUCUGGACGGUGACUGACGCUGAGACGCGAAAGCGUGGGGAGCAAACAGG
rnacentral:rRNA from 1 species